GUGCUUGCUUCUGCAGCACACAUUCUAAAACCGGAAUGAUCCAGAGAAGCUUAGCAUGGCCCUUUGCAAGGAUGAGGCACAAAUUUGUGAAGCCUUCCAGAUUUUU
ensembl:snRNA U6 U6 spliceosomal RNA